UAAUAUUAAAUUAAUUAUUUUCGAAGUAAUUUUUUAAAAAAAUUUAAUGUUAUAAAAAAUUUUGUCAGGUUUUUAGGUAAAUAAGAGAAUGACCGCUUUCUUUUUGAUUGAAGGAUUUGAUGGAGAGGGAUAUGAUUUUUUAGGAAGUUAAGAGAGAGAGAUCAUUCCCAAAUCUCAAUCCAUUACCGAUAAUUUUGUUAAUGGGUUUUGAGAGAGAUAAGAGGUUCAUAAUCUGAUCUUAUGUUUUAUACUUUUUAAUUCAAUCCAUUGCAGUGGUCACAUUUCUGUGUUCUCACACUACAUAGCCAGCCACAACCCUAAGCUUCUGUUCCUACACAAGCUGGUGCGGUCAUACGGAACGCAGCUUCUUAAUAUUGAUAGGAGUUUCGUAGUUUGCUUAGUACAUGGAAGUGACAACCUUCAAGUUUCAAAGAAAAAUCCCUUCCAAGGCAUUUGUUUGAUUGUGUUCAAGGUUGGCUGAUUCUAUGCGGUGGUUGGCUUCAUUUGAUGAGAGAAAAUUGCGGGGAUGGUUGUUUGUCUCAAUUGGCUCUAUUUUCUUUGUUGGGUAUUUCUUUGUUGUUGUUAUUUCCAAGCUUCUCCCACCUUCAAACAUUGCCCUCAUUUCUGCGUUGCAAAAUGACUGGUAAUUAAUUAAUUAAUUAGUCCUGAUAUUGAGAUGUGAUUCUGUAGGUUUUUACUUUCAUGUCAAUGGUUUUUCAACAUAAUUGUCGUUUUUGGGGAGGGCAUAAUUUAGGGUGUAGAAUGUAAGGGCAUGAAAUUGCAAUAUGUUCUGUCAUGGGUUUUUGUAUAAAUUGUUUUGUGUCGUGUGAUGAUGAUAAUGGGUAUGUU